CAAACUUAUAUCAGCUUUCUGGCUCCUGUGUUUUUUUGGAUUGGUUCUCUCAUUUCAUGUUCACUUUCCGAUAUUCUUUUGCGCAAAAAAGUGUUAUCGAAACUGACUGUUCGUAAAAUGUUUAACGCUAUCACUAACAUACCAACCGGGUUGUUUUUUUUGUUAGCUACAUUUGUUCCACGAGAACAAUACUAUUUUGGUAUUAUUUUAAUGCUUCUUGCCUGCUUUUUUUCUGGGUGUCAAUACUCGGUGGUUCUUCCUAACAUUAUUGAUAUUGUUCCACAAUAUUGUGGAAUUCUUACUGGAAUUUCGAAUACGGUGGCUACUUUUGGAGCAAUCAUUGCCAUCCAAUCGACCUACAUUAUUGUCACUGAUCAGCAUAAAAUAACUCAAUGGUGGACUGUGUUUGGAAUUAUGAUUGGUAUUGAAACGGUUGCCUUCUUGGUUUUCACCAUUUUUGCUCAAUGUGAGCCACAGAAGUGGUCUAUCGAUCACUCUCAGAGUAUAG